rnacentral:rRNA from 1 species
UCUGGGAAACUGCCCGAUGGAGGGGGAUAACUACGGGAAACGGUCGCUAAUACCGCAAAACGUCGCAAGACCAAAGAGGGGGACCUUCGGGCCUCUUGCCCUCAGAUGUGCCCAGAUGGGAUUAUCUAGUAUGUGGGGUAACGGCUCACCUAGGCCACUAUCCCUAUCUGGUCUGAGAGGAUGACCACCCACACUGGAACUGAGACACGGUCCAGACUCCUACGGGAGGCAGCAGUGGGGAAUAUUGCACAAUGGGCGCAACCCUGAUGCCCCCAUGCCGCGUGUAUGAAAAAGGCCUUCGGGUUGUAAAGUACUUUCCGCGAGGAAGAGGGUGUUGUGGUUAAUAACCGCAGCAAUUGACGUUACUCGCAAAAAAAGCACCGGCUAACUCCGUGCCAGCAGCCGCGGUAAUACAGAGGGUGCAAGCGUUAAUCGGAUUUACUGGGCGUAAAGCGCACGCGGGCGGUCUGUCAAGUCAGAUGUGAAAUCCCCGGGCUCAACCUGGGAACUGCAUCCAAAACUGGCGGGCUAGAGUCUUGUAGAGGGGGGUAGAAUUCCGUGUGUAGCGGUGAUGUGCGUAGAGAUCUGGAAGAAUACCGGUGGCGAACGCGGCCCCCUGGACAAACACUGACUCUCAUGUGCGAAAGCGUGGGGAGCACACGAGAUUAUAUACCCUGGUACUCCACGCCAUACACGAUGUCUAUGUGGAUGGUGUGCCCUUGAGGCGUGUCUUCCGGAGCUAACGCGUUAUCUCGACCGCCUGGAGAGUAGCGCCGCGAGGUUAACACUCAUAUGAAUUGACGGGGGCCCGCACAAGCGGUGGAGCAUGUGGUUUUAUUUCGAUGCAACGCGAAGAACCUUACCUUGCUCUUGA